UACGAAGGGGGCUAGCGUUGUUCGGAUUUAUUGGGCGUAAAGAGCGUGUAGGCGGCUAGAUAGGUCCGUUGUGAAAACUCGAGGCUCAACCUCGAGACGUCGAUGGAAACCAUCUGGCUAGAGUCCGGAAGAGGAGAGUGGAAUUCCUGGUGUAGCGGUGAAAUGCGCAGAUAUCAGGAAGAACACCCGUGGCGAAGGCGGCUCUCUGGUACGUGACUGACGCUGAGACGCGAAAGCGUGGGGAGCAAACAGG
rnacentral:rRNA from 1 species